AUGAGAAGAGGUUUCCCUAAGCCCUUCAGUGAUACUUGGUACACUCUCUCCCUCUCCUACAGUAAAUGCUGCUUUUCCUACAUUUUCCAGACUGUCUCCUAAAAACAGUAUCAAAUGACGUCACCAAAAGAUACACAAGCCACUUAACUUGGCCAUUGUCCUAAAGGUGGGACCAUUCUUCCAAGCAUGGAGACUUGAACUUAAACCUCACUAAGCCUCCCUGGUGAAUUGCUAGCAAGAAUUGACUUGGCGGUUGCCAGUCUGGGUAAAAACUCUGCCCUGUGACAGUUUGCCUUUUUGUUUUGGCAGGUUUUGCUUGGACUCUGCUAGACAGAACCGACAAAGACUGUCCAUCAACUGGUCCAACUUUAGCUUGAAGAAGGCCACCUUUGCUGCCCACUGAAUGAGGACUGCCUGGAGAGGGAUAUGUGGGAGGCAGCUGGGCUGCGCCACUCAAGAGCCAAGCCCCUCACUGGCUCCCCUGAGCUUCAGUACCCACCCAGGGUGUGUAGGGCGGGAUGCUGUGGCCUGAUACCCCCAGAUUGAGAACUUGCUGCUCGACCUGCGUUGUUAGCUUGUGUGCGUGUAGUCUGUGAGUGAGACUUCUUUGAUUGUAGCUCUGUGCUGUCGGAAUGGAACAGUAGUUCCCGCCAAUUUCUCCACCACCACGGCUUCAGAGGCCUGGGCCGUGGCCAGAGACGAGUUUGCAUCAUCCACGUGGCUCUGUUGCCUCUGCAUCUCGCCCUGUCCUGUCAUCUGUCCCCGCCAGGGUGUCAGUCAUCCCUCAGCUCCCAUGUGCCCUGUGUCCCACCCAAGGCGGGCUGGGCGGGCAGGCCUCCUUUGUCCUCUUUCACAAUCUACUGUUUCUGAGUGUACACGUUGCGCUGUUUGUGUUUGACCCCCUGACUUGUAGCCAGCUUGUGUAAGACCCCUUGCAGAAUGAGAACGUUAAAAACAAGAAACCCACCCAGUACUCACACCAUCAAGUCUGUUCUAGAGCGUACAACCGUAUUAACACGGAGGCCUGCCUGGCUACUUUUUUAACAUAUUGUUAAGUAAUAUUAAAAUCAUGUCUUUCUUUUUGAAAGAUGGAAUACAUUAGUACAGCAGGA
rnacentral:lncRNA from 1 species